ensembl:snRNA U6 U6 spliceosomal RNA
GUACUAGUUUUGGCAGUACAUAUACUAAAAUUGGAAUAAUACAGAGAAGAUUGGUAUAGCACUUGUGCAAGGAUGACAUGCAAAAGUUCAAGAAGAAAGGUGCUAAGCAGCAGCAAAUCUGU